AGAGUUUGAUCCUGGCUCAGAUUGAACGCUGGCGGCAUGCUUUACACAUGCAAGUCGAACGGCAGCACGGGCUUCGGCCUGGUGGCGAGUGGCGAACGGGUGAGUAAUGCGUCGGAACGCGCCGAGUAGUGGGGGAUAACGCAGCGAAAGCUGUGCUAAUACCGCAUACGUACUGAGGUAGAAAGUGGGGGACCUUCGGGCCUCACGCUAUUCGAGCGGCCGACGUCUGAUUAGCUAGUUGGUGGGGUAAAGGCUCACCAAGGCGACGAUCAGUAGCGGGUCUGAGAGGAUGAUCCGCCACACUGGGACUGAGACACGGCCCAGACUCCUACGGGAGGCAGCAGUGGGGAAUUUUGGACAAUGGGGGCAAGCCUGAUCCAGCCAUGCCGCGUGUGUGAAGAAGGCCUUCGGGUUGUAAAGG
rnacentral:rRNA from 1 species